rnacentral:rRNA from 1 species
AUGUCCGCCUACAUCCCUAACCAACACAAAAGAUGGACCGUUCCACACACCAUAAAGAGGUUGAGAAGAGGUCACAUACCCGCACAAUCCUCCUUCACCGCCCGGGUUAUGUUUUGUGAUCGAACCACCCUAGUACCCAUGCCAAAUGUGUGUGUUGCCUGUCACGCAAGAAAGAAACCAAAACAUUUUUCCGUUAGUGGAAAACGAAACCAUACAGUUGUGACUGUAGUGUAUAAGAGAGGUCACUCCUCUUGUGUAGACAUUUGUUAUUUCAUCUAUUCCAGUAUACCUGCUUCAUGGUUUCAAGUGUUGUGCCGCCUAUCGCUUUCUCUUCUCGCUUCUCGGCGUGCAACGCAAAGUGAGAAAGCAGGCCUUCGAAAUCCGAGUCUUGUAAUCCUGUACGGGAGCGGUGAUUAG